rnacentral:lncRNA from 1 species
CACCAAUUAAAUCACCAUAUUUCUUAAAGUCGUAAGUUUCGGCGUAUCGUCUGCUACCGCCAUUUGUUAAGAAGAAACCAAUUCCGAUUUCGAAGUAUCUGUAGUAGGUUUCAGGUAGUAAUGAGACAUUAUAAAGCAGUGGGUUAUGUGUCAUUAACUUCCUCAUUUUAUUGCUAUUGAUCACCAAUGAGAAGUCUGAUCCAUUUGGAUACUUGGCAUUCUUUCCUUCAUC